UGACUUGGCGGUUUUUAUUCGCGAUUGUGUGUUGCCGUACACUCUUGCGCGAUGUUGCCAUUUUUAUGUCUCACACAUUUUGCUCCAGUAAUUGUGCGCAUGCGCGCGUUUUCCAAAAUGUCCUCCAAGACCGUGAUUCAGAUGGGAAAUACAAUUUAAGGUUCUUCUUCCAUGUGAUGACAUCAUGUCUGCAAUGAGACCUCAAAGAAAGAAUUUCAAGAACUUUAGGCGAUAAGUGGGACAGAUCUGUUUCUAAAACAGGAUGAAGAAAAAGGUUUGAUGAAACUACAGAAGAUGGCAGUUUUGGAAGGCUUGUAAAUGACUCCACACACCCCAAUUGCAAAGUGCAGUGCUUUGAGGAGGAGGGUCUACCAAGCUUGUAUGUUGUUGCCCUCCGUGACAUUCUGCCACUGGACAGACGCUACAGGUGACUGUGCCAGUGUCAUCUCUCGUGCAGAGAAGAAGUUGUGUAUAAUUAUGGUGCAGGACCAUAUCCAUGGAGGAAAAAGUUCGAAAAGCUGUGACGUUAUAGUAUCCAAGCCAGGCGUGAGACCAGUCCAUUGCCUACUUGAAGUUUAAACAACGGAAAGGACAAGUUUGCUUUAUACACUGAUGUCGGAGCUUGGAGAAAUUCACUUGACUACAUUACCCAGCUCAGGCAGUCUGCAAUACUCAAAGAAUGUCCACGACUAAGAUGUUGAACCAGAUGGCCUACAUCCAGAACUGAUGCAUGGAGUUCAAAACUACAUGGAUAAAGGCAGCUACGUUCGAUUCGGCUUAAGGUCACCAUAGUUAGCCCAGACAGCCCUCCGGCACUUUGUCAGAGGACAGAUCAUCUGAGAUGUGAUUGAGAGUCAUGAGGUAACCGCUGUGCAAAUAUUUGGCUCGGAUCUGACAAACCGCAAAAAGUUUGCCUUUUAAAGAGUGUGGCAUAUCAUUCCAACAAGAUGUGCAUUGCCCCAUCACCUUUGUCCAGCCACCUGGCAGAUUCCCUGCGGAGUAGUUGUGUGCUAACUUCUCGGGUUCCAUCACCAAUGAUGGCUUCCCCAAGGCUACAACUACAUACAGAAGAUGAUAGUCAACAUUCAGCUUGUGAUGUAAGAAACGGGCAUUCAGCCGGCGAAUAUAAACCAGCACACCUUAACUGCUUGGUAGUUUUCAUGUGCAGUGCUCAUGGAAAGUGCAGGGAGAGGAUCUUGCUGGAACAGGUGCUCACCCUUCAGUUGGCUCGAUUGGUAGCGCCCAAGUCACUGCCAGCGCCCAUGAAAAGGCCAGAUGCCCUGGAGAUGGGAACCACUGACACAUGAUCAGUUCCCCAUCUAGAGCAGCACUAAAGGCGACCUCCAUAAAGCCUACUUUCUGGAAUACAUCUGUGUGCAGAGCUUGUACAUCAAGUUGAAGACUUACAAUUCAUCUCAUUGACAGUGAUACAACAUUUAAACAAAACCGUUUUAUGACUGAAAAAUCUAAAUAAAAACAAAAUAUGUUGUUGCCUUAUACCAGUGUCAUGGCACACUGGUCGCUUUACUAUAUGCUGCAAUAAAUUGAUUCUUUUCAAGGA